AUUGAACGCUGGCGGCAGGCUUAACACAUGCAAGUCGAGCGGGGACUUCGGUCCUAGCGGCGAACGGGUGAGGCAUGCUUGGGAAUCUGCCCAGUAGCGGGGGAUAACGUUUCGAAAGGAACGCUAAUACCGCAUACGCCCUACGGGGGAAAGGGGGGGAUCUUCGGACCUCUCACUAUUGGAUGUGCCCAAGUCGGAUUAGCUAGUUGGUGGGGUAAAGGCCUACCAAGGCGACGAUCCGUAGCUGGUCUGAGAGGAUGGUCAGCAAAACUGGACCUGGGACACGGCCCAGACUCAGACGGGAGGCAGAAGUGGGGAAUAUUGGACAAUGGGCGAAAGCCUGACGCAGCCAUGCCGCGUGUGAGAAGAAGGCCUUCGGGUUGUAAAGCACUUUAAGCGAGGAGGAAUGGCUAUUAGUUAAUAACCUUGAGCAGUGACGUUACUCGCAGAAUAAGCACCGGCUAACUCUGUGCCAGCCGCCGCAGUAAUAC
rnacentral:rRNA from 1 species